AGACACACCAGUGGGAGUAAGUGGGAGUCUGAUUAGUAUUUGUCAUUCACAAGGACGCCUUGAUCAGGAGAGAGAAGAUACACACAGGGAGGAAGGAAGAUGGCGGUUGGUGGGUGGCUGGAGCAAAGCAUUGUCUAGGAAACAAUAUCUUCUGAUUCAUGUCUUUUAGAAAAAUCCAGAUGGAUUGUUUUCCAAGCGGGGUGAUGUGAUGCGAGGUUAGCAAGAUCAACACACAAUGUCUGAUGACAGGCAGAGAUAGAUGGAGAGUGAAGCGAUUGUUUGAACACAGUGGUGGUGAUCUCAAGUGGUAGUGAGGGGUGAAGGGAGGGGGGUAGUGAUAGUCUCUAUGUGGGGAAGAAAAGAGGGGGAGGAGAGGGUGGCUGAUGGUCUCUUUAUGUGGGGAGAGGAGAGGGUGGCUGAUGGUCUCUUUAUGUGGGGAGAGGAGAGGGCGAUGGGUGGCUGAUGGUCUCUUUUUGUGGGGAGAGGAGUGGAGAGGAGAGGGUGGCUGAUGGUCUCUUUAUGUGGGGAGAGGAGAGGGUGGCUGAUGGUCUCUUUAUGUGGGGAGAGGAGAGGAGGGUGGCUGAUGGUCUCUUUAUGUGGGGAGAGGAGAGGGUGGCUGAUGGUCUCUUUAUGUGGGGAGAGGAGGAGAGAGGAGAGGGUGGCUGAUGGUCUCUUUAUGUGGGGAGAGGAGAGGAGAGGAGAGGAGGGUGGCUGAUGGUCUCUUUAUGUGGGGAGAGGAGAGGGUGGCUGAUGGUCUCUUUAUGUGGGGAGAGGAGAGGAGAGGGUGGCUGAUGGUCUCUUUAUGUGGGGAGAGGAGAGGGUGGCUGAUGGUCUUUUUAUGCGGAGGACGGGAGUCUGGAACUAAGAGAAUGUUGCUCAGUAGUCAUUCUCAUAUUCCUGUUCCUGUCCUUCUUGAGUUAGAACCAGACCAGAGGAGACAGACAGAGACACAGAGAAACACGUACCUUCCAUCAGUACAGAUACCAGACCACCAACAUGCUACCAUUCAAAAUACCACAUGGACCCACUAGUGGUUGUGCUAGUCAGUAUCGCUGACUCAGACUGCUGUGUUAUGGCAGCUGCUCAUCAGAGCUCUGAAAGCAGACAUGUACAGGCACAACAUAGUGCUGUAAUCUUUAUUUCUCUUUCUUAAUGUAAGAAAAUGUCAUAAAGAUGUAGAACAGUGAAAUGAGA
rnacentral:lncRNA from 1 species